GCAUAUCAAUAAGCGGAGGAAAAAGAAACUAACAAGGAUUCCCCUAGUAACUGCGAGUGAAGCGGGAAAAGCUCAAAUUUAAAAUCUGGCGGUCUCUGGCCGUCCGAGUUGUAGUCUGGAGAAGUGUUUUCCGCGCUGGACCGUGUACAAGUCUCCUGGAACGGAGCGUCAUAGAGGGUGAGAAUCCCGUCUUUGACACGGACUACCAGUGCUCUGUGAUGCGCUCUCAAAGAGUCGAGUUGUUUGGGAAUGCAGCUCAAAAUGGGUGGUGAAUUCCAUCUAAAGCUAAAUAUUGGCGAGAGACCGAUAGCGAACAAGUACCGUGAGGGAAAGAUGAAAAGCACUUUGGAAAGAGAGUUAAACAGUACGUGAAAUUGUUGAAAGGGAAACACUUGAAGUCAGUCGCGUUCCUCGAGACUCAGCCUUGCCUUCCGGCCUGGUGUACUUCUCGUUGAACGGGCCAGCAUCAAUUUUGAUCGUCGGAUAAAGGCGGGAGGAAGGUGGCACCCCUCGGGGUGUGUUAUAGCCUCUCGUCACAUACGACGGUUGGGAUUGAGGACCGCAGCACGCCUUUAUGGUCGGGGUUCGCCCACGUUUCGUGCUUAGGAUGCUGGCGUAAUGGCUUUAAAUGACCCGUCUUGAAACACGGACCAAGGAGUCUAACAUGCCCGCGAGUGUUCGGGUGGAAAACCCGUGCGCGUAAUGAAAGUGAAAGUUGGGACCUCUGUCGUGGAGGGCACCGACGCCCGGACCAGACCUUCUGUGACGGAUCUGCGGUAGAGCGUGUAUGUUGGGACCCGAAAGAUGGUGAACUAUGCCUGAAUAGGGUGAAAGCCAGAGGAAACUCUGGUGGAGGCUCGUAGCGAUUCUGACGUGCAAAUCGAUCGUCAAAUUUGGGUAUAGGGGGCGAAAGACUAAUCGAACCAUCUAGUAGCUGGUUCCUGCCGAG
rnacentral:rRNA from 1 species